CCUACGGGAGGCAGCAGUGGGGAAUAUUGCACAAUGGGGGAAACCCUGAUGCAGCGACGCCGCGUGAGCGAUGAAGUAUUUCGGUAUGUAAAGCUCUAUCAGCAGGGAAGAAAAUGACGGUACCUGACUAAGAAGCCCCGGCUAACUACGUGCCAGCAGCCGCGGUAAUACGUAGGGGGCAAGCGUUAUCCGGAUUUACUGGGUGUAAAGGGAGCGUAGACGGUCGUGCAAGCCAGAUGUGAAAGCCCGGGGCUCAACCCCGGGACUGCAUUUGAAACUGUAAGGCUAGAGUGUCGGAGAGGCAGGCGGAAUUCCUAGUGUAGCGGUGAAAUGCGUAGAUAUUAGGAGGAACACCGGUUGCGAAGGCAGCUUGCUAGGCCGGAUCUGACACUGAUGCACGAAAGCGUGGGGAUCGAACAGGAUUAGAUACCCCAGUAGUC
rnacentral:rRNA from 1 species